GCCUCGAUGGUGUAGUGGUAUCACGCGCUCCUCGUAUGGAUGAAACGGAGGAUCGACGUCCGCCUAAAGUCGAGUAUUGCG